rnacentral:rRNA from 1 species
CAGUAGGGAAUCUUCCGCAAUGGACGAAAGUCUGACGGAGCAACGCCGCGUGAGCGAUGAAGGCCUUCGGGUCGUAAAGCUCUGUUGUUAGGGAAGAACAAGUAUCGGAGUAACUGCCGGUACCUUGACGGUACCUAACCAGAAAGCCACGGCUAACUACGUGCCAGCAGCCGCGGUAA